AAAAAAAUUGUUUGUUUAUUUAUUUAUUUUGAGGACAUACUCGAAACUCAUAUAAAGGAUACCACCACGAUAGAUAUAUAUAUUUUUUUUCGAGGUCGAAAAGCACAGGAAGGAGAGGACGACGCUUGAAAAAGAUUCCAACGCCUCAGGAGUAUAUAUCAAUUACCUGAAUAUGGUUACAGGUUGGUAUUGGUAUAUAUGGUAUUCGUUGGUACUUUUGCCAUAUGAAUGUGAGAGAAUUUGAUAAUUAAAUAACCAUGGCAACCUGGAGAAUAAAUUACUGGCUUGGGAGCUUGGAAGAGAACGGAAAUUCUUUGCAUCCUUAAGGGGUCAUGGUUGAAAGUUAUUGAUAUUGGACGGAAAUUGCUUUAAUUUUAAUAAAGUGGACAAUUUUUUUUGAAAUUUAAAUGAUGGAA